UUUACCCUGGAUGCCCGGCUCCUGGACCACCUCAGGGCAACAGCGUGAGGAUGGCUGGUCAAGAGAGGACCCAGGGGGAAGUGGGAUCCAGAGCACCAGGGACAGCUGAAGAUAAGAAGUAAACACCGGGCAGAGGAGCAGCCAAGAUAGCCACAGAAGGAUGGGGAACCAGAGAAACCUCUCAGUUACCUGAAUUGACUGCCAACUCAGAAGGAGAUGACCACACAAUCAUUCCGGGCCAUCAGGGACGUCCUUCAUAGAGAACUUUAGGAAGACCAAGAGGAUCAAUUCAAAGAUAAAGGCCUGAUCAUUGGACCUCAUUGUUUUAGCAUCGUGGAAGGGAAGACAUCACCAUCCUGCAUAUUAAUGAUGCAGUUAACUGCCCAACCAAGAGGCUCUUACCUUGUGCCUCAGCCCUGUGCUCAAUGCCUUAUGUGAAUUACCUUAUUAAAUCUUCGUGACAAUCCAAGGACAGUUCCUCUUACUGCCUCUGUUUUAUAGAAACCUAGUAAAAUGAGCUGCACCAGACACUUGAAAGAGCUACCAUCUGGGAGAAGUGAGGAAGAGAGUUCAGAACAAGGACCCACAGAAAACAUCGGACUUCCUAAGAAACUGCUUGAUAAAAAUGAUCCUUGGCCAGCUUAUGUCACCUAUAUAUGCCCAGUGGUAAAAAGACUCAUUGAGAAAAGCAAAACUAGAGAAUUGGAAUACAGGAAGACUUUCGGGGAAAGUCAACAGGCAUCACGGCUGAACAAGCCUUCCAGCAUCCUCCAGAUGGGAGGGAGAAUAAAGUCCUUCAAGUCCUCUGAAGAAGCUGUGUUCAAGGAUAUGCUAUCAGAGACUAUGUUAUCAAUGUUGGCAACUUACUCUUUUUUGGAUGCUACUGUUGCCCCAGAACCCACGUAUUUACAAAAGGAUUCCAGAGAAUGUCCCACCGCAAACUAUAACAAGAUCAUUUUCCCCCGCAAACCUAUGAUGAGGAUGCUUCCAUACAGCUCACUACCGGCCAUCAAGGAGAAAUAGGCAAAUGGGCUCUUAUUUUGGCCUCUCCGUCCUGGAGGACCAGGCUGGAACACUACAGAGGAGACCUGGAGGUCCUUGAGUGUCCUCUCCAGACCUGGGGCAGAUGCCACACCCAAGCCUUUCAGCAUCCAAUAAGGUGCUCCAGAGAAAACCAACCAAAAUUACAAUGAUUUACUUAUUGAAAAUGUAUUUCCUAAACAAGUAAAUGCACAAUCUCAAUGAAGACCUAUAUCGCCUAACAGAAUAUUACACGUCUCCAUUGGAGACAUCUACAUUUAGGUUACUUCAUUGACUCUGCAAGCCUUAAGACAAUUCCUUUUAUCUGCACAAAUAAAAAAGUAGUCCCUCUUGGAAGAAAAGGAAGAUUUGAUUAAGAGACUAGUAUGGAAUUGCUAGAGUGUGGAAAUCAUCUGGGUUCUUAAACCAAGGUGCUAUUUGUGGAUUCCUCAAAAGACCCACAAAUAAAAAUCAAGAGUCCACAAACUUGGAAAGGGGAAAAAAAACUACAAUUUUUCACUAACCUCUUGAUGAAUUUCUGCAUUUACUUCAAUGGAAUGUGUCACAUACCUUGACUUUAUCCUCAGUAAAAAUUAGAAAUAUU